UUUUGCUAGUGACUUUUAAUUUUGGAAAAAGGCAACCCUGUCCAAUGCGAGAUAUGACAGGUCACAGGAUAAUCCGUUUGUUUUCUGAAAUUUGAAUUAUUCUUGAUUUCUUGAGUUUGUUGUUAAUUUUAAAAUGGCUUCUAGGAGGAAGGUGUAUUGUGUUUUUGGAUGUAGUGAAAUAGGUAAGUUUUCUCAAAAUUAUUUAUUUAUAAUGAACUGAUGCUACCAGUAGGUACGUAUCCCUUAUUGUUUGUUUCGGUCAUGGCCGCAGAACAUCUUUGUUUGCAUAUAACCAUAUAUCACUAUUUUACAAAAAUUAUAAAAAUUUUAAAUAUUUGAGUAUUAUAUAUUUAAUUAUAAGUAUAUUUAUUAUUUGAAUAUACUAUAUAAAAAUAAUUAAAUAUGGAGAACACAACAUUUAUUGCGUAUUUCUGUACUGUAAAGGUUGUUUUUUAUGUAUUUACAGGAGCAAUUAUGCAUCGUUUCCCUCACCCUUCAAGACGACGAGUUGUUUGCUAUCGGGAUGUCAAUUGUUGGUGAAUGACUAAAAGAUCUUGGAGCCAGACAUGAUCUAAAGAAACAAGAGAGACUGUGAUUACCAUUUCAAGCCUGAGCACAAAGUUUCAGGUCACCAAUUACUCCAUUUAUCUGUUCCAUCAAUCUACUAGUGGUAUAUUUCAUUCUGCGAGUACAGCAGUUUACAUGGAACAUAACUAUUCUCAGCCAAGGAUGUGGCCUUAUGAGACAAGGGCAAAUGAAGAUAAUGAUGUCCCCAUUAAAUCAGCAAAUUUUAGAUAAAGGUCGCACAAAACAUUGUGAUGAAUACUUAGUAAAAAAAUAUAAAAAGUCCCAAAUUGAACAGAAAAAUUGAAGUUAAAGAAAAGUAUGGCUAAAGAGAGAAGUUUUAAAUUGCCAAUGCCGAAAAUUAGUUGCUGGUCAGGCAUUUCAUAAAGUCACAGCAAAAAUGUCAGAAGCUGGAAUUUUUUUUACUGGAAUACAAUUUAAACAAGCUCUGAAAAAACCUAAAGGAAGACGUUA